ensembl:lncRNA
AGACAUGAACUUGGGCAAAAUCAGGGAGAUGGUGAAGGACAGGGAAGCCUGGCGGGCUGCAGCCCGUGAGGUCACAGAGUCAGACACUCCUGAGCCGCUGAACAACAGCAGCCACCAACCCCAGAAUGACUAAAUCAGAAUCUCAGGGUGUGGGGCCUGGAUGCAUAUAAUUCUUCAAAGCUUCACAGGUGGUUCUCCAGACCACGCUGCAUGCUGAGAGGGCAGGAGAGGAGAUGGAGAGAGAAUGAAGACGGGUCAGGUGGCUACAAUACACCUUCCCUGUCUCAACAACCAGGUGUGUCACUUCCGCUUUUGUGGGAAGAAGUCAAGAGAACAAUGCUUCUGGGAGAGGAGAAGGUCUUAUAUUGUGGGUCAUCCAAAAUUCAGGGAGAGAAAGAACGUACCGUGGCCAACGAUUCCACUGUUCAUGCUGCCAGGUUGGGGAAGCACCACCCCUCCAUCUGUGUCCCCGUCUCUUAACCCAGCUGCCCAGGACUGAAGCUGCUCUUGCCCCCUUCUAGUGAAAUAAAG